rnacentral:rRNA from 1 species
AGUGAACGCUGGCGGCAGGCCUAACACAUGCAAGUCGAGCGGCAGCGCGGGGGCAACCCUGGCGGCGAGCGGCGGACGGGUGAGGAAUGCAUCGGAAUCUACCUCGUUGUGGGGGGAUAACCUCGGGAAACCGGGACUAAUACCGCAUACGACCUACGGGUGAAAGUGGGGGACCUUCGGGCCUCACGCGAUGAGAUGAGCCGAUGCCGGAUUAGCUAGUUGGCGGGGUAAAGGGCCCACCAAGGACGACGAUCCGUAGCUGGUCUGAGAGGAUGAUCAGCCACACUGGAACUGAGACACGGUCCAGACUCCUACGGAGGCAGCAGUGAGGAAUAUUGGACAAUAGGCGGCAAGACCUGAUCCAGCACUAGCCGCGUGUGUGAAG